GGACAAGCGGUCUCCACUUCAAGGUGCCGUCAAGAAGGCCAUCAAGAGCCAGAAACUGGAUGACAUGAGACCCAAAUCCCCCAAUCGAUCCUUCUUCCACUGUGAUUAAAAUCUCAUGUGAUUUAGCUAGACUUCGGAUGAGGGCUCGGUCGAGUGGCUUGCAGAAACGUCCAUCUGCAACUGUUAUUCGUAAGCCAUGGCGUUCAACCAUAGAUGCAGCAGCCAAACAGUUUUGAACUGCCGUUCCAUAGCCCAACAGGGCAACUCUUUCCCCUUCAAGUAAAAUCCUCCCUUUCCCGACCUCAAUAGGAAUGCCU
rnacentral:misc_RNA from 1 species